rnacentral:rRNA from 1 species
GACGAACGCUGGCGGCGUGCUUAACACAUGCAAGUCGAACGGAAAGGCCCUGCUAUUGUGGGGUGCUCGAUUGGCGAACGGGUGAGUAACACGUGAGUAACCUGCCCUUGUCUUUGGGAUAACUUCAGGAAACUGGGGUUAAUACCGGAUAGGAGCUCCUGCUGCAUUGUGGGGAUUGGAAAGUUUCGGCGGUUGGGGAUGGACUCGCGGCUUAUCAGCUUGUUGGUGGGGUAGUGGCUUACCAAGGCUUUGACGGGUAGCCGGCCUGAGAGGGUGACCGGCGACAUGGGGACUGAGAGACGGCCCAGACUCCUACGGGAGGCAGCAGUGGGGAAUAUUGCACAAUGAGCGGAAGCCUGAUGCAGAGACGCCGCGUGCGGGAUGACGGCUUUCGGGUUGUAAACCGCUUUCGCCUGUGACGAAGCGUGAGUGACGGUAAUGGGUAAAGAAGCAACGGCUAACUACGUG